rnacentral:rRNA from 1 species
GACGAACGCUGGCGGCGUGCUUAACUCAUGCAAGUCGAACGGAAAGGCCUCUUUCGGGGGGUACUCGAGUGGCGAACGGGUGAGUAACACGUGAGUAACCUGCCCUUGACUUUGGGAUAACUUCAGGAAACUGGGGCUAAUACCGGAUAGGAGCUCCUGCUGCAUGGUGGGGGUUGGAAAGUUUCGGCGGUUGGGGAUGGACUCGCGGCUUAUCAGCUUGUUGGUGGGGUAGUGGCUUACCAAGGCUUUGACGGGUAGCCGGCCUGAGAGGGUGACCGGCCACAUUGGGACUGAGAUACGGCCCAGACGCCUACGGGAGGCAGCAGGGGGGAAUAUUGCACAAUGGGUGGAAGCCGGAUGCAGCAACGCCGUGUGCGGGAUGACGGCCUUCGGGUUGUAAACCGCUUUCGCUCAUGACGAAGCUUUGCGUGACGGUAGUGGGUAAAGAAGCACCGGCUAACUACGUG